GGUAGCGUGGCCGAGCGGUCUAAGGCGCUGGUUUAAGGCACCAGUCUCCUCGGGCGUGGGUUCGUUUCCCACCGCUGCCA